GUAAUAGUGAGUUUAAUUAAUAGUGAAAUCAGGUAAAACUUGGACACGAUGCAGGUAGUGAUAGUGUGAGGAAAGGUGAAGUGGUGGAUGGGUAUAGUGGAUGGAUAGAAGUGUAAGGAAGAGGGAUAAGGAAAUGAGUUCUUCUUCGUGAGGUGUAAAGCGAAAAGGAAGAACUGUGACGAAGAGACAAGGGGUUCUUCUUCGUCAGGAGACAAAAGACGAAGUGUGACGACUAGACAAGAGGUUCUUUUUCAUCAGGAGUGUACUGUACAUCGCCUCAGAGAUGGACCCAGCUAAGAUCCUUCAGAUUAUCACCAACAGCACGUGGAUGGUGACGAGGUUGGUAGGAGGCGACCCUGUGGAGUUUGGCAAGUCACAAUACGUCCUGCACCUCCCGGAGAACAGCGCCCCACGCCUUCUGCUGCACCUUACUGCCCGAGUCCAGCCUCCAGGAUCCCCAUUGGAGUUCAGGAUUACGGCAGGAAAUGAGGCAGGACUCUUUUCUUUGGUUCCUGCCAGUGGUCGUCUUCACCUCCUACGACCACUGGACUACGAGAAACAACAGCGACACGAGUUGGUGGUAGAGGCGAGGUCUGGGAGGAGGAGUCAGGCCAGGGUCGUUGUGGAGGUAGUGAGAAUGACCACCUCCCCACCUUCCCCACCAGCCUCCACGAGACCCAGAUCACCGAGGACGACGACCGACACCUCCCCAAGGUCUUACUGACGGUGUCAGCCAAGGACGGUGAUGGUGGACGGUACGACUAACGUACUCCAUGACAGGCGAUGGUGUCUAUCCCUCCUCCUCCUCCUCCUCCUCUUUCUCCAUCGACUCCUCCACGGGCGUCAUCCACCUCCUUAAGCCGCUAAACAGGGCCCUCCUCACGGGCGAGCUCGGUGGCGACUGGUGGUGACAGCUACUGACGGUGACCACGAAGCCUCCACUACCGUCCACGUUAAUCUGAAGGACGUGAAUGACAACGCCCCGUACUUCCCCCAGGCCACCGUCAACGCCACCAUCCCGGAGGACACACC